UACGGGGGGGGCAAGCGUUGUUCGGAAUUACUGGGCGUAAAGCGCGCGUAGGCGGCUUUGCAAGUCGGGUGUGAAAUCCCCAGGCUUAACCUGGGAACUGCAUUCGAGACUGCAUUGCUAGAGUAUGGGAGAGGGAAGUGGAAUUUCCGGUGUAGCGGUGAAAUGCGUAGAUAUCGGAAGGAACAUCAGUGGCGAAAGCGACUUCCUGGACCAAUACUGACGCUCAUGUGCGAAAGCCAGGGGAGCGAACGGG
rnacentral:rRNA from 1 species